GAGGGUAUAGCUCAAGUGGUGGAGCACAUGCUUGACCUGCACGAGGUCCCAGGUUCAAUCCCCAGUACCUUCU
rnacentral:tRNA from 1 species